CGAAGCUCGUGGCCUAAUGAAUGGGGCGUCUUACUUCUAAUCAGACGAUUGUGGGUUCGAAUCCUGCCGAGCGUGU
rnacentral:tRNA from 1 species